rnacentral:misc_RNA from 1 species
GCUGAUGGAUCCGAGAUAGGCGCUGCGGGCAUACUAUAGUUAUAGUACCCCACGAUCGGAUGAUCGUAUUUGCAAGCAGAACCAUACUUGCAGACUCCGUACAUACUGUAGAAAGAGCAUACUGCCUGACCUGGUCUUAAGGGGAGACCGAGAGGCCCGAGAGUGCACAUGACGAGAGGGUUCUUCUCCUGUGGAUGAUGAUACUUACAGUUAGUUCCGAAUUUGCAGCUCCCGGUUUUAAUGAAAAACUGGCAUUCUGGUUGAUCGGGCCGCUGGGGGAGGUUCACCGAGAUGGUCGAACCUGGUUGUGUGGGAUUCUUGGAGCUCGACAUGUGAGCAGUCCCGUUG